rnacentral:rRNA from 1 species
CCUACGGGUGGCAGCAGUGGGGAAUAUUGGGCAAUGGGCGCAAGCCUGACCCAGCGACGCCGCGUGAGGGAAGACGGUCUUCGGAUUGUAAACCUCUUUCAGCAGGGAAGACAAAAGGACGGUACCUGCAGAAGAAGUCACGGCUAACUACGUGCCAGCAGCCGCGGUAAUACGGAGGAUGCGAGCGUUAUCCGGAUUUAUUGGGUUUAAAGGGUGCGUAGGCGGGCUUUUAAGUCAGCGGUAAAAAUUCGGGGCUCAACCCCGUCCGGCCGUUGAAACUGGGGGCCUUGAGUGGGCGAGAAGAAGGCGGAAUGCGUGGUGUAGCGGUGAAAUGCAUAGAUAUCACGCAGAACCCCGAUUGCGAAGGCAGCCUUCCGGCGCCCUACUGACGCUGAGGCACGAAAGUGCGGGGAUCGAACAGGAUUAGAUACCCGAGUAGUC